UCUCUGUGUUUGCAGGUGUCCAAUGUGAGGUGCAGCUGGUGGAGUCUGGGGGAGGCCUGGUGCAGCCUGGGGGGUCUCUGAGACUCUCCUGUGCAGCCUCUGGAUUCACCUUCAGUAGCUAUGAAAUGAACUGGGUCCGCCAGGCUCCAGGGAAGGGGCUGGAGUGGGUCGCAUACAUUAAUAGUGGUGGUGGUAGCACAUACUACUCCAACUCCGUGAAGGGCCGCUUCACCAUCUCCAGAGACAAUGCCAAGAACAAGCUGUAUCUACAAAUGAACAGCCUGAAAGCCGAGGACACGGCCGUGUAUUACUGGGCUAAAGUUUUCCAUCCCCAGGGGUUAGGUUUAGGGGACUGUUCGUCCUUUGGCUACU